CGAACGCUGGCGGCGUGCCUAAUACAUGCAAGUCGAACGAGAGCGACCGGUGCUUGCACUGGUCAAUCUAGUGGCGAACGGGUGAGUAACACGUGGGUAACCUGCCCAUCAGAGGGGGAUAACAUUCGGAAACGGAUGCUAAAACCGCAUAGGUCUUCGAACCGCAUGGUUUGAAGAGGAAAAGAGGCGCAAGCUUCUGCUGAUGGAUGGACCCGCGGUGCAUUAGCUAGUUGGUGAGGUAACGGCUCACCAAGGCCGUGAUGCAUAGCCGACCUGAGAGGGUGAUCGGCCACAUUGGGACUGAGACACGGUCCAAACUCCUACGGGAGGCAGCAGUAGGGAAUCUUCCGCAAUGGACGCAAGUCUGACGGAGCAACGCCGCGUGAGUGAAGAAGGUUUUCGGAUCGUAAAACUCUGUUGUUAGAGAAGAAUAAGUGCUAGAGUAACUGUUAGCGCCUUGACGGUAUCUAACCAGAAAGCCACGGCUAACUACGUG
rnacentral:rRNA from 1 species